rnacentral:rRNA from 1 species
UACGUAGGGGGCAAGCGUUGUCCGGAUUUACUGGGCGUAAAGAGCGUGUAGGCGGCCAAGCAGGUCCGUUGUGAAAACUGGAGGCUUAACCUCCAGACGUCGACGGAAACCGCGUGGCUAGAGUCCGGAAGAGGAGAGUGGAAUUCCUGGUGUAGCGGUGAAAUGCGCAGAUAUCAGGAAGAACACCGGUGGCGAAGGCGUUCUGCUAGGCCGCAACUGACACUGAGGGACGAAAGCUAGGGGAGCGAAUGGG